rnacentral:rRNA from 1 species
UACGUAGGGUGCGAGCGUUGUCCGGAAUUAUUGGGCGUAAAGAGCUCGUAGGCGGUGUGUCACGUCGGCCGUGAAAACCUGCAGCUUAACUGUGGGCGUGCGGUCGAUACGGGCAUCACUGGAGUUCGGCAGGGGAGACUGGAAUUCCUGGUGUAGCGGUGAAAUGCGCAGAUAUCAGGAGGAACACCGGUGGCGGAAGGCGGGUCUCUGGGCCGAUACUGACGCUGGAGGCGCGAAAGCGUGGGGAGCAAACAGG